rfam:Candidatus Zambryskibacteria bacterium RIFCSPLOWO2_12_FTLL_39_16 rifcsplowo2_12_scaffold_9595, whole genome shotgun sequence.
UAAGGAGUGAAAAGCUAAUCGAACCUGGUAAUAGCUGGUUCUCUCCGAAAGAGCUUUUGGGUUCGCGUCGCGUGUUCCUGUUGGGGGUAGAGCACUGGAAGGUCUGGACAGGUCGAAAGAUCGCUAGACCUAUCAAACUCCGAAUACCGACAGUCAUAGCGCGGCAGUUAGACGGCGGGGGCUAAGCUCCGUUCGUCAAAAAGGAAACAGCCUAGAUCUCUAUUUAAGGUCCCUAAAUUUAUGCUAAGUGCGCUUAAGGCGGUGAAAUUUCUCUGACAAUGAGGAGGUUGGCUUAGAAGCAGCCAUCCUUUAAAGAAAGCGUAACAGCUCACUCAUUCAGAGAUUCUGCGCCGAAGAUAAUCGGGGCUAAGCAUAGUACCGAAACUGAGGGUUUGUAUUUUCUUCGGAAAGUACAAGCGGUAGGAGAGUAUUCGCAUCUGCUGUGAAGGCAAAGGGGUGACCCAUGCUGGAGCGUUGCGAAGUAAGAAUGUUGGCACAAGUAACCACAAUGCGCAUGAAAACUGCGCACGCCGAAAGACUAAGGUUUCCUUCUCGAUGUCAAUCAGGGAAGGGUUAGUCGGACCUAAGGGAAUGGCGAAAGCCGCACCCGAUGGAUAGCAGGUUAAUAUUCCUGCACUUUUGUAUGUUGCGAUGGAUGGACGGAGUGUAGUAUGCAUUGCUCAUUAUUGGAUUUGAAGUCAGUACUGUAAGGAUGUCUUCCAGGUAAAUCCGGAAGACCACUUUAAUGUGUAAUUCAAGCAGUACCGAAACCCGGAGAUUCGUCAAAGGGGAUAAUGCAAAGCACGCUUCCAAGAAAAACUUCUAAGCAUAAACAUAUAAAAACCGUACCGUAAACCGACACAGGUAGUCAGGUCGAGAAGACCAAGGCGAACGAGUGAGAGGUCCCCAAGGAACUCGGCAAAAAAGCGGCCGUACCUUCGGUAUAAGGCCUGCCCCUAGCAAUAGGGGCCGCAGCUAAAGUAUCCCUGGCGACUGUUUAUCAAAAACACAGCUCCCUGCGAACUCGUAAGAGGAUGUAUAGGGGGUGACGCCUGACCAAUGCCAGAAGGUCAAACAACGACGUUGUGUGCAUCACACUUUGUGUGAUCACACCAAUAAAAAGUGGUCGCAUCGCGCGAAGCGUGAUGUACAUGGUGAUUGUUGUAAGCCCUGGUGAAUGUCGGCAAUAACUAUAAUUGUCCUAAGGUUUUGGAACUUUUUUAAAAAGGUUUCAAAAGGACUGGGACAGUUAUAGAGAUAAGCAGUUUAAUAAAAAAGAAAAAUAAACGAGACAAAAUAAAGUUAGUUACGCAAAAAAGAAGCUACCUACACUGCAGUAAUGUAGUGUUAGUCCAAAUAUGGUUAAUAAGUGCACCAACACCAUACGCCCGACUAAAAAUUUUAAGGGUGAAGAUAGAGUCCAACUUGAAAGGAAUAGUUGAGCGAAAUUCCUUGUCUGGUAAGUUCAGACGCGCACGAAUGGCGUAACGACUGGGGAACUGUCUCGGGGACUCGCUCGGUGAAAAUACAGUACCGGUGAAGAUGCCGGUUACCUGCAGUUAGACGAAAAGACCCCGGAAGCUUUACUGCAACUUGGCAUUGAGGAUAUGUUUUUACUGCGUAGCAUAGAUGGGAGGAUUUGAGAUAUCUUUUUCGGGAGAUGUUGAUCCGUCAGUGAAAUACCAUUCUGUGAUGACAUAUUUUCUAACCUCUCGCGUCAAACGCGAAAGAGACAGUGCCUGGCGGGCAGUUUUAGUGGGGCGCUAUCCUCCUAAAGAGUAACGGAGGAGCCUAUUAAGGUCAGCUAGCCGUGAAUGGAAACCAUGGCGAUAGUGUAUAGGCACAAGCUGGCUUAACUGCAAGACGUACAUGUCGAGCAGAUGCGAAAGCAGAGCUAAGUGAACCGAUCGUACGCGUUAGACGCGGCGAAAGAUUAUCGGACAAAAGCUACUCCGGGGAUAACAGGCUGGUUCCGCCUAAGCGUCCAGAGCGACGGCGGAGUUCGGCACCUCGAUGUCGGCUCAACUUAUCCCGGGGGUGGAGAAGCUCCCAAGGGUAUGGCUGUUCGCCAUUUAAAAAGUUACGCGAGCUGGGUUCAGACCGUUCAGAAUAAAAUGAAAAGAUUCAAAGAAGCAAAGAAGGAAAAAUUAAUCUUUCCAUCUUUAAAUCUUUCCUUCUUUCAAUUGUAUUUUGAAUAAUCUGAAUCCUCAGAGGAAAUUGAAAUUAAAAUCAUAAUGUUAUAAGUUUUUUUGUUAAGUAAAAAAGAUAAGAACAAUCAAAUCACGGCGGUCUUUGAUAUUUAAAAUAUUGAAGAUUAAAGUUGACUAUAUCGGUGAAGUCCUGAGAGAAGUCGAAGGAUAAUACCGAGGGAAGAGGUCGCGAGUACACGACAUAAGUGUCGCUUUCGCUCCCUUACCUGUAGAGACUGAACGUCAACAAUGUGCGCAAGCACAAAAAGCUACAGUCCAUUGCACAGAGUAAUCUGUGGUAACAAGCGUGAGACAGGUUGGUCUCCUAUCUACUGCAGGCGUUGAUUCUUGAGGGGAUUUGACGAUAGUACGAGAGGACCUCGUUGAACCGACCUCUGGUGUACCUGCUGUUCUGCCAAGAGCAUCGCAGGGUAGCUAAGUCGGGUUUGGAUAACCUCUGAAAGCAUAUAAGAGGGAAGCCAACCCCAAGAUUAGGAAUCGUUAAGGAUCGUGAGAGAUGAUCACGUUGAUAGGCGCUAGGUGUAAGCACUGUAAAGUGUUAAGCCGAGGCGUACUAAUUUUCCGAUUCCAUUAGGAAA